rnacentral:misc_RNA from 1 species
GGAACCUCUUGAACACGGUCAAAGUUUCGGAUGUUAUCAAGGGUUUCAAUGGAUGGGGACAACCCACCAUGGAGGCAAAAUAUUUCAGACUCAACCAAGGCAGUCAAAGGAAAAUAGUCAAAAAGAUCUGUAAAGGUCUUCCAUACAUUAGCAUUGCCAUACUUCCUUAAACAUUCGUCAUAAAACCCAUAAACCUGAGUGAUCUGACGGCUCUCAUGAUUCCCUCGAAGAAUGGUAAUCCGGUGAGGAUAACGAACCUUUAGAGCCACUAAUAACGUGACAGUUUCAACAGAAUAAUAUCCCCGGUCCACAUAAUCUCCCAUAAACAGGUAAUUGGUGUCCGGACACUUCCCUCCAAUUUGGAAAAGUUCUGCAAGGUCAUGAAAUUGCCCAUGAAUAUCUCCACAUAUUGUGACUGGACUCUUCACAGGCUGUACAUUGCUCUCUUCCAUUAGAACCUCUUUGGCUUUGUCACACAAUGCCCUUACCUGUUGCUCGGAGAGCGGCUUGCACUGCAUGAGCUGCGAGAUCUGCUCGUCCAGGCUGCUGUUGGCCUCGGACAACAUCGAAUCCGUGCCCAUAGCUGCACCUGAGAAGGCCCGGCCGGAGCGUGAGACUCCACUGCGGCGGUGGGCAGUGGACAGAGAGAGGAAGAAGAGAGAGAGAGAGA